rnacentral:rRNA from 1 species
ACACAUGCAAGUCGAACGGACUUACAUUGAAGCCUAGCGAUAUGUAAGUUAGUGGCGGACGGGUGAGUAACGCGUGGGUAACCUGCCUUGUACUGGGGGACAACAGUUGGAAACGACUGCUAAUACCGCAUAAGCGCACAGCUUCGCAUGAAGCAGUGUGAAAAACUCCGGUGGUACAAGAUGGACCCGCGUCUGAUUAGCUGGUUGGUGAGGUAACGGCCCACCAAGGCGACGAUCAGUAGCCGGCCUGAGAGGGUGAACGGCCACAUUGGGACUGAGACACGGCCCAAACUCCUACGGGAGGCAGCAGUGGGGAAUAUUGCACAAUGGGGGAAACCCUGAUGCAGCAACGCCGCGUGAGUGAAGAAGUAUUUCGGUAUGUAAAGCUCUAUCAGCAGGAAAGAAAAUGACGGUACCUGACUAAGAAGCCCCGGCUAACUACGUGCCAGCAGCCGCGGUAAUACGUAGGGGGCAAGCGUUAUCCGGAUUUACUGGGUGUAAAGGGAGCGUAGACGGUUUUGCAAGUCUGAAGUGAAAGCCCGGGGCUUAACCCCGGGACUGCUUUGGAAACUGUAGGACUAGAGUGCAGGAGAGGUAAGUGGAAUUCCUAGUGUAGCGGUGAAAUGCGUAGAUAUUAGGAGGAACACCAGUGGCGAAGGCGGCUUACUGGACUGUAACUGACGUUGAGGCUCGAAAGCGUGGGGAGCAAACAGGAUUAGAUACCCUGGUAGUCCACGCCGUAAACGAUGAUUACUAGGUGUUGGUGGGUAUGACCCAUCGGUGCCGCAGCAAACGCAAUAAGUAAUCCACCUGGGGAGUACGUUCGCAAGAA